rnacentral:rRNA from 1 species
CCUACGGGAGGCAGCAGUGAGGAAUAUUGGUCAAUGGACGCAAGUCUGAACCAGCCAUGCCGCGUGCAGGAAGACGGCUCUAUGAGUUGUAAACUGCUUUUGUACGAGGGUAAAUCCCGAUACGUGUAUCGGGUUGAAAGUAUCGUACGAAUAAGGAGCGGCUAACGCCGUGCCAGCAGCCGAGGUAAUACGGAGGAUUCAAGCGUUAUCCGGAUUUCUUGGGUUUAAAGGGUGCGUAGGCGGUUCGAUAAGUUAGAGGUGAAAUCCCGGGGCUCAACUCCGGCACUGCCUCUGAUACUGUCGGGCUUGAGUGUAGUUGCGGUAGGCGGAAUGUAUGGUGUAGCGGUGAAAUGCAUAGAGAUCAUACAGAACACCGAUUGCGAAGGCAGCUUACCAAACUACGACUGACGUUGAGGCACGAAAGCGUGGGGAGCAAACAGGAUUAGAUACCCUGGUAGUC